AAUAUGGGACAAUGGGCGCAAGCCUGAUCCAGCCAUGCCGCGUGAGUGAUGAAGGCCCNAGGGUUNUNAAGCUCUUUCAACGGUGNAGAUAAUGACGGUAACCGUAGAAGAAGCCCCGCCUAACUUCGUGCCAGCAGCCGCGGUAAUACGAAGGGGGCUAGCGUUGUUCGGAAUUACUUGGCGUAAAGCGAACGUAGGCGGAUCGAUCAGUUAGGGGUGAAAUGCCAGGGCUCUACCCUGGAACUGCCUCUAAUACUGUCAAUGUCGAGUUCGAGAGAGGUGAGUGGAAUUCCGAGUGUAGAGGUGAAAUUCGUAGAUAUUCGGAGGAACACCAGUGGCGAAGGCGGCUCACUGGCUCGAUACUGACGCUGAGGUGCGAAAGCGUGGGGAGCAAACA
rnacentral:rRNA from 1 species